GAUGAACGCUAGCUACAGGCUUAACACAUGCAAGUCGAGGGGAAACGAUAGAGAAAGCUUGCUUUUUCUAGGCGUCGACCGGCGCACGGGUGAGUAACGCGUAUCCAACCUGCCCAUCACUUGGGGAUAACCUUGCGAAAGUAAGACUAAUACCCAAUGACGUCUCUAGAAGACAUCUGAAAGAGAUUAAAGAUUUAUCGGUGAUGGAUGGGGAUGCGUCUGAUUAGCUUGUUGGCGGGGUAACGGCCCACCAAGGCGACGAUCAGUAGGGGUUCUGAGAGGAAGGUCCCCCACAUUGGAACUGAGACACGGUCCAAACUCCUACGGGAGGCAGCAGUGAGGAAUAUUGGUCAAUGGACGAGAGUCUGAACCAGCCAAGUAGCGUGCAGGAUGACGGCCCUAUGGGUUGUAAACUUCUUUUAUAUGGGAAUAAAGUAUUCCACGUGUGGGAUUUUGUAUGUACCAUAUGAAUAAGGAUCGGCUAACUCCGUGCCAGCAGCC
rnacentral:rRNA from 1 species